UUUGUUUUAAAGAGUAGUAACAUGCAGCUUGCUUGGCUAUUAAAUUGGAAACGGAUUCCUCUCUGACUUGGCCACUGAUAUUGGGCGUGACCUUGGACAAAUAAUUUUGUUUCUUUGGGCUCAGUUUCUACAUAUGUAAAACGGGAAGGUUUCUCUUAAAAACUAAUCCUGAAGGGUUUCUUGUCAACAAAAAGAUGCAAGCUGUAGGAGGCAGAAAGCGUGGGUUCAAGUUCGAAAUUUGCCCCUGAAUUAGGACUCUUGACACAUUUCUAACCCAUCCAAGUAGAGAUCGUUCUUUUACAUUUAUGUGUUAUACAGGUGCAUUUUAAUGGUUACCAGGUUGCCACGUAUUUGAAGUGGUGUGAGAGCUACUCGUUUGGAACCGUUGUGGAUUUUCAAAUAGGAAAAUCAAAAGGCCCAAAGAGACAGCUCACUGUUUUGGGUGUAGUUCAUCUGAUAAGGAAUCAAAAAAUACAUUACGACUUUUAUGUGAACUUGUGCAAAUGUGUGAAACAAAUUAAGGUGACAGGGCAGAAGCAAGAAAAUGAAGCUCAAAUGAAAUCCACCUCUCAAAGCAGGUGACCAUGCUUUGGGAUUUUCAUAGUUUGAGUAAUUCCUAUGGGCUCUACCACCCAGCGAGUUAAAGAAGACAAGAUUCCACCCCCAGGGGGUUGUGGUUCUGGGAAUGUGAGCAGCUUGUUUUCAUGAGAUCUGCACCUUGAUCUGGCCUGCUAUUAGGAUCUGUGGUGGUGGUGGCUGUCUGGUUUUAGUUGUUUCUUUUAUCUUACACAGAUUUUUGUAAGUUAUUUGCAUAUAAAGGUUUUUGAAAAGUGAAUGUUUUAUGGGGGCAUCUUGCUUAUACAAAGAAAAAUUAAAACUAUUUUAAAAUAAUCACUCAUGUGUUACACUUGUCUCUUCUAAAAUAAAUGAAAGUAUUAAUGUUGUUGUCUGGAAGGAAAAUGAAGACCAGGAA
rnacentral:lncRNA from 1 species